ACCUAGCGGCGAGAGGCCGGACAUUGGGCCCAACCGCGUCCCGCGGGGGGGCGGGGGAAAUCGCCUCUCUCUGCUCGGUGAUUGGAGGAUGCCGUUGGCCCUCCCAUCCUCGGGGCUCCACCAGUCCCAAGCCGAAGGCUUGCCCCCUUUUCCGCUCCCAGCAGCCCUGGAGCCGGAAGCGGGGGCGGCGGUUGGAGAGUGGGCGCCGGGCGCUGCGGUUGCCUUCACGGCCCAGCCUGCUUCUCCAGAGGGAGGUUUUUCCUGUGUCCACCGCAGGUCCUGGCCCCGCGUCUGCUCGUCGGCCGAGGCUGGAGGAGUGGCGGGCGGCGGUGGGAAUGAGUCAGAGGGCGGGGCGCAGUUCCAAGAGUAGGGGGCGGGGUCUUUAAAAGCUUGAAUUCCCGGGUCCCGCCCGGGUGAAGGUCGGUGGGACUGGACUGAGCCCCGGAGGUUUUGGUUAGCGUGGGACCUUCUGACCCCCUGGGCCUUAGGACCCGGGUCGGACUCACUGUAGGAUUUUGGGGAAGGGUGGGUGUAGGUGAGAUGUAAAUGCAUCCUGGUUUCCAUUGGCUCAGAGCAAAACUGAGCUCCAUGCAGAGGGGUCAGCGUUGGGUCUGGACGGCGAGUGGACCCAGGCCCUGUGUCCUUGGGAACCAAGAAGAUAAGAUGCCUGUGGAUUGUAUGUCCGGAAACCUCUUAUCUGAGCCCUGCACUUGGGUGGAGAUGGAGACGGAUUCUUGGUAUCUAAGAGAAUCAGGCCUGACUGGCAGGAGAGGGACGUUGUCUUCCUUCUGAUUGGACUUCGGUCAGAAGCUGUGCUUUUAAUGGACAGAGUAUUCAGCGAGGUAGACGGGAAUGGCUCAAAAGGGAGUUGUUUUGUCACUUUACAGCUGUAGCGUGUUCUUGGAGGAUACGUUUCCCGAUAAUUUUGCAUCUGGCUUUAUCCGUCCUCCCAGCAUGAUGAAUGACAGGGCAGACUGGAGGACUCAGCUUACAACCAAGGAGUCAACUUCUAAACAGGAUAUUUUUGGAGAAAAGACAUUUGAGGGCAUAAAAAUGAUGUUCUGAGGACUCAAGCCCAGAAGACAGCUUCUCAGAUCACUCUGAGGGACCGCUCCAAAGAGGUAAGGGAGGAACCAGGGUACAGAGAAGUUUUGCAACAAAACCCAAGUAGUUGGAACAGCAAAAAGAUUACUGUUAAUUAAAGAAAACCAGGGAGUUCCCUGGUGGCCUAAUGGUUAGGAUUUGGACUUUUCACUGCAAAGGCCUGGGUUCGAUCCCUGGUCUGGGAAGCAUCCCGCAUGCCACUCGGUGUGGGCAAAAUACAAAAAAACAAAUUAAAAGGAAAAAAAAAAAAAAAAAGAAAUCCAGACAUCUCAAGUUAAUGAAUUUAGCACUUUUCUGGGUAUGUGAAGAUGCAGGAGUCUGGGCUCAUUGAAAUCAUUCCUUUGCUGUGCACCUUGACUGUCUAGGACCAGUAUCUUGUUCUUUCUAAUCCUGAGUCCCCACCCCCCCGCCCCCAGUGUGCACCGUUUUGGGGGGUGGCUGCAGUGGCCGAGGACUUGGCGGGCAGCAGCCCCUUUGUCUCCAUCCUGAGUUCCCUCCUGGCUCACUGUUGGGGCUUGGGGGCGGCGGGGUAGGGCUGGUAGUGGCUGAUGGCUUUAUGGCCACAGCACCCUUUGUCUGCUGAUAUGGCAGGCAACAUUUUUCAUUCACAAUCUGAACACGAUUUUUUUAACUUAAAAUGAUUAAACGUAGCGUACAACAUUUAGUGCAUUCUUUUCUGAGUGCCACGUAUUGUACUUCUCCAUAAUAUUUCAAAGGCGAUUUUAAGCAUGAAACAAUAUCCAGUUUUCCAAUAUUUUCUUCACCAUAUUAGGUCACCCCCUCCCAGUUUUUUGUUUUUUUUUUUGCGGUAUGCGGGCCUCUCACUGUUGUGGUCUCUCCCGUUGCGAAGCACAGGCUCCGUCCCUCGCAGUUUUGAUUCCAAUCUUGGUUUGGAAGAGCUUCUAAAAUCUUUCAUUCCGGUCCCUUGAAACUUAACCAUUGUUUUGUUUUUGUUUUUUACAGAUGUAAGGGCAAAUCAAAUUGAGAACAAGAGCCCUAACUCUCCCUGUUGAAAAUAAGGAAAGAGAUUUAUCCCUUCUCCUUUUGGUAGAGCAUUUUCUUUAGAGAACGUGUGGUGGGGUAAAUUCUUUCUCUGUCCUUUGAAAUGUAAAUAAACCUUUUUAAAAACUAAAUAAGGCUCUUGCCAGCUUUACCACCCGGGAGUCUUUCGGGAGGACCUGAGAGCCUUCUCCCUGAAAUGCAGUUGUCAGGGGAGCCCGUGCCCCUCUGUGCAAAACUCCCUCCUGUCCUAAAGGUAAAAGUGGGUUUUGCCUUUGAAUAAAGUCAGUUAACUAACACAGACGGUCACCCAAUUACCAGGAGGAGUGAAUUUGAACUAAGCGUGACCGAUGCCCUCGGGGUCUCUCACCUGAGGACUGGUUAUGGCUUAUCUUGAGAACAGGUAUUCAUGAGUUGCAUCCAUUUAGCUCCAAAAGGGGACGAAAUGUUUUUCUGUUUUUGCAAUCUCUUAGCGGAUUGCCUGCGAUGUGCCUCACAUUUUGGCUUAGUGCUAUCAAUAAUAAAAGUUUUUUUUUUUAAUUCU